UAGCAAAAGAUUUGAUUGGGGAUGCUCUAAAUGGGCCUAGAUACUACAGUUUAAAAAAUAUAUAUGGAACAGCAAGUACAGUGUAUUACCAUUUAUAUAAAGAGUGAAUACUUAUAUUAAUAUUUGCUUUUAUAUGCUAAACUCUCUCUGGUGGGAUAUACAAGCAAUUGAUAACACCAAUGGCCUCUGAGGAAUGGUGGGGGGUAAGCAGAAUAACUGAAGUACACAGGUGGGAGACGGACUUUCUGCUGUAAAUAAUUUUGUUCCUUUUAAAUAUUAAGCCACGUGCUAUAUUAUCUAUUCAAAAACAAAUAAAUUUUUAAAUAACUUUGAAAGCAAAAAGAUUUUUUAAAAUGCUCAAUCAUAACAAUACAUACACAUGUGACCAAAUAGGACAUUAGGGCUUAUGGUUUAUAGACUGAAAAGCAGAAAGAAUCUAUUUCCCCCUGUUCCUUUAUUAAACUCUAUCAAUAUUUAAUUUGGUUUUAUUACUCAUCAUACUUAUAUAUUUUCAUUUAAAUAUUUUACAAAACGUAUUUGAAAAUUUAGCUAAAACUGAGAGAUGUUCACUUUUUCUAAGCAGGUAGGUUCUAUUUUUUUAUACCAUGUAUUUCUCUUUAUUUUUUAUGACGGUAUUUUUAAAAAAAAGUAACAAUGCCCAGUGUAACAAGUGCUAAAGAUUUACAUUCAGAAAGAUGCAUUUUAUGUGCUGAAUGUAUAAAAUGCAAACUGGCAUGCUGGUAAUAUCAAUAACAACUAAAUACUCUGCAUCUCUAGAAGAGAAAACAGGCUAAAAUUAGGGUGUACAAACUUAGUGCAAACCAAAUGGGGUAAAACAUUGUGAAUGAUCCUAGAAAAGUAUACUGGUAAAGCUGAAAACAACCUGCACUACAAAGAAAUUGAAUCUUCACCUCAAUUAUGUAUGGUGAUCUGAUAUCAUUAAAUCACUAGUCUGUCAAUAAUUUUCUUUUAAAAAAUCUGAAAGUAAUCGUCCCUUCUAUGGGCUAAUUAAACAAUUUCAUGCCAUAUUAACCAAUAUCAAAUCAUCAAAUAUCAUGCUAUCUGAAACUAUCCCUUUUUUUUUUUUUCAAUUGGGAAGUAAAGAGUCAAGUUUCACCACAAUUUCCUUAAAGCCCAAGUAAAAUCAUCCUAGAAGUAGUCAAGUGGAGAGAAAGGCAUAAUUCUGAAUUCACUCAAAAGCCAAAGCAGAUUAAUGAGUAGUCUCAAAAAAAAAAAAGCAUUUAAUCAUUUGGCAAAACCUAUGUAAAAUUAUUAAUAUCUGUUUUAAUGACUCCAAACGGACAACCAGGCAGUUUUGAGUAUUACAUCUCGCUAAACGUUUCUGACUCUCAAGACUUUUAAAAUAACGUUUAUUCCAAUAAUACAUAAUGUGGAAGAUAUAGCCGUUCUUCUACUGCCAAAUUAUCUAAAUCCCAACAUCUGCAGUCAGGCUGUUUCUCAACUUUUCUGUUCUCCUGCCAACUAAAGAGAGGCCCUGAGAACUUAGCGUGCAGAGGCCGGGCUGCGGAUCACCGCCGAAUGCAGGUCUGCCGGGGGUCUGUCUGUCCCACAGGUGAGACUUACAAGACAAUUUCCCACAUUCACCACCACUUUCAGGAUCAUCACCCAUUUGGGGCUUUGUCUUUACAACUACGCCAGAUGCAUCUGCCUCACUCAGAAAUCAAACUUUUGUGUUUGAUUCUGAGUCCCAGUGACCCCGCGACAGCGGCCAGCACACGGCGUCCACCCAGCCCAGCAGCGCUCACCCACGAAAGGUCCGGAGUCCGGACCGGGCGGCGCCGGGUCCACUGCCCGGCCCACCUGGACCGUGGGGCGCCAAGCCCCCGCCCGACCCGCAGGCCCGGGGACUGAGGGGCGCCCGCUGUGCCCAGCAGAGCCGGGGCGGGACUGUGCGCGCGUGGGGUGCGGGGGUCAGCCGCGCAGAGGGCAGGGGCUGGGGUCACCGGAGAAGGGCCGAGGUGGUGGACAACCCCGAAAACACCGACUUGAGGAAGAGGGGACGAUCCAGUCCUAAAGGCCAGGAGCUUGGAGACCUAAGGGAAAAAGUUUGGAACUUCAGCUGGGGAAGCGAUGAAGGUGAGCAGCCAGCGAUGUGGAGCGACUCUAGAAGCUCCAGGCCAUGGGCACCCCGACUACCUGGGUGAUGGAGCGUCAGGUCUAGAGAGAGCAUGGAGUCUAGCCUACACCAGCUCUCUUCUACCCGGACUCCCCUCCUCUCUCCACCCACGUGCUCUUUCCCAAGUAAAUUUCUCUUUCUUCCGGCUGAUCCCAGAAAAGACUCUUGGUCACCUGCACACUCACCGGCUUCCAAGAACAACUUCCCUUACAUCGGUUGAUGUUUCGCUAGACAGAUCCCAGUAUCUGGAAACAACUACUCGCAUCCAAAACUCCAGGGGAAAAAAUAAAAGAAAAAACAGACUUUGAAGAAUAAGAACUUCCUGUCUCCCCUGGUAACCCCAGAGAACCCUGCCAACAAAGUCAGCCAGUAAUUCCGUGGAGAAUCCCAGGACAUCAGUCAUUCUCUCCCAGCUCAGAUACCAAAGCAGAUUAGUGGCAGAACCACGUGUGGCCACAGGGUCAUGAGGAAAGGCACCUCCACCCCCAACUUACAGGGCAGCCCAGGAAUGAGAGACCUGAGGCAUUUCUCACACCCUCUUCUCUUGCCACAGUCAAAACUAAAACACGUUGCAUAAGAGAGCUUUAAAAAAAAAUAAAUAGGUCAUCUUUGGCACUAAUUUUAAAACCAUCUGCAUUUCUAGUAAGCUCUCCAAUGACUCCAUCCUGGAAAACUCGAGUGGGAAGAAGAAAAGUAGGCAGAGAAGGUAACUGCUUCCCUCUUACAGAAACUCUUUUAAUCUCCUGCUGAGGGCUGUUUUGUGUUCUGCUGUAGCAAGCUUGAGCCUACCAAUUAUCUCCUGAAGAGGACUGCUUUCUGUCUCCCUGUCCUCCUUGGCAUUUACAGACUGUCAUUCAUGUAUGACACAUCAAAUGUGUCAUUAGUUUCAAUACUGAAAGAGGGAGCAGAAAAGCAGGGAGCGGCGUUGUCAGGAACAAAACCAGACUUCCCUGUCAUAACUGAGCUUACACCUAAAAACAGCCAUAACUUUUUCUCUGAACUCAGUCAGGUUUAACGUCAGAAAGUCCAACCCAUCUCCUUUGGUGAAAAGUAGCCUUUAUUAUCGAGUCUUGAUUACACAAAGCUCCAGAAAUACCACUGGCCCCUCUCUGUGAGACUGAUGGCCCUCGGUGUGAGUCGUAGAAGCUCUGGAUUGCCUUUUUUAAAACAGGCUACUCAACCUGGAACCCAGAUAAACUCAAGGCAUUUGGUUCAGGAACCAGUAAGCAUCUGACUUCCAUGAUAAACUUUCCUGGAUUCCAGACCCUGGAUUUUUCUUAUCUUGGCCAGCACACCAGGAUAUUCACAAUGAGCCAAAAAACUUUCAAGACUUCAGCACUGUCGAAGUGGAAUAGAAAAGUUUCUUGCUUUUACAUUGAAAAUAUGGCAAAUAAAGAAUAUCUCUGUAAGAGUUUAAAUGAUAGUCUUGAUUGAAUAAUUACUAGUAAAUUAUGUUACUGGUAUACCAUAAGUUGUUCCAUGCCAAUCUUUGCUACUUAAGCUAAUGAAAGAACAUUCCAAACAAUAAGUCAAGGUAAAUCUCAUGUUCAAAUGUGCUUGGUAAAGGUCCCAGGCUUUAUGGUACAUAUUUAGCAAUGAUCUUACAGUCAUUUGAAUUAAAACUAUAGUGGUUUAGGUUAUGCUGAAAGAAAAGUCACAGCAAAAUGCUGGAUAAAUACAUGUUCUAAAAAAGUUAUAUGUAAACACAGCUUAUUAUGUAUAUUAGAUACUAUAUUAUUAUACUUAACAUUAUACAAGAUUAUAUUAUUAUUUUUAAGCAUUACUUAGGAUCCAUUUUUUUGAGGCAAGUAAUAGUGACUUUAUUCAGAAAGUCAGCAGACUGAAAAUGGAAUUCUUCAUAAAAUAGCUUCACAAAUUAACAAAUCUUUAUGUAAGCCCUAAUUUUCAUAUAAAAAAUUGAACCAUAUUAGUGUGGGUAAAUUUGUAUUUCAAAAGGUUAAUCUUCAAAAUCAGUUACUUGCACAGUAUCAUACAGGAUUUAUGUUUUAUGUGUAUUUGGAUUUGGUUACCAAAUGACUCAGACUUGCUUCCUGUAUAAGAAAAGCUUGCAAAAAAUUUUUGUCUGUACCCUUUCUUCAAAACUAUUUGCAUCAAUGUUUAAAUUACUAUCAAAAAUUAAAAUUUAAUUUUGUAUCAAAUUUCUAAGUAAUGCCUAAUUACAGUGCUUAUUUGAGAGAAAAUUUUAAAUUAAGAUACAGUUUUGAUGUACUGUGGCAUUAUUCCACACUGCACAUAAGCAAUAAGGGCAGUUUUAAAAGCAUUCUUUAACUG